rnacentral:misc_RNA from 1 species
GCAAGAUGUGAAAACAAUAUUGGAAUCAUAUGAAAUUUUGAAUUUUAAAUAUAAGCCUGAAAGAAAGAAAAGAAAAGAAUAGAAAAAAGGUUUGAAAAGAAAAGAAAAGAAAAAAGGGUUUGAACUUUGAAUUGACCAAGCAUGUGUGUAUGGCUAAUACACAAGAUGCUCUUCUCUAAUAAUCCAGAAAAAGGCAAAAGGUGAAAA